rnacentral:rRNA from 1 species
UACAGAGGGUGCGAGCGUUAAUCGGAAUUACUGGGCGUAAAGCGUGCGUAGACGGCUAUCUAAGUCGGGUGUGAAAGCCCCGGGCUCAACCUGGGAAUUGCAUUCGAGACUGAAUAGCUAGGGUGCGGUAGAGGGAAGCGGAAUUUCCGGUGUAGCGGUGAAAUGCGUAGAUAUCGGAAGGAACAUCAGUGGCGAAAGCGGCUUCCUGGACCAGCACCGAACGUCAGGCACG